AUUUUAUUUGAGAGGUUGGCUAAACUGGUGAAAGUGUCGUUACAGAUUUUUUCAAGAUUCUAUGUUGACCAGUGUAUACCAACCCUUUUCCUAAGAAGAUUUUUAAGACCGUUUUUUUACGAAGACCGCAUCCGAUGCGCCCGACCAUUACGCAAUAAAAUCUAACCUUGUUUUAUGGGGUGCACAAACCGCACAAGGUCACAAAUAUGGCCAUUAAACAGAGG